GGCUUGGUGCGGUAGUGGCAGGUGACAGAAGCAGUCCUAGCUAGUUCAGGAGUGUCUGUAGCUACUCAUAGGUUUUUGCCCUAUGGGUAGUCCCUUGGUGGGUAAAUGAGAGCGAGCAUGGAGUCCCCCACCUGUAGUGGACCAUUCCUGCAUGUAAAGAUUGCAGGAGGGGUUUGUGUCCUGCGCCAUGCGAGAGAGUUCCUUGUGAGGUCCGGGAAGAACUGUAGGGUGGUACCUUCAAAUUGGAUCGUUCUUAUCCCGGACAGCCGCAAGAAGGAGAGCUUUGUCCUGAAGUGACUGUAACCUGAUGAGAUUGGAG